GAAUUCAUGAUGAUACCCCCCACCCCCUAAAAAAAAUUCCUUGGAAAAGCUGAACAAAAUGAGUGAAAACUCAUUCCUGUCUCUCUCAUCGGUGACUGAGGUCC
ensembl:snoRNA SNORD116 Small nucleolar RNA SNORD116